AUUCUGGGUAGGCGUAUGCAAAUUAUCUCAACAAAGAACCAAAUUUUUGCCUCAAAAUUCCACUUUAUACGUGGAUUCCUUGGAGUACGUGUCUGCUGUAUACAACAGCUUUGAAACACAACUCAGGAAGAGCAGCAAAACCAGUGAACCACUCAUAGACAGCUGUUUCGUUGUUAAUGUUACUGGCUUGCUAUGGAGGCUUGGCGUUACUGGUAAAGUACAUACCAACAGAGUUGUGGUGGGGGAAAAAGUGUGGAUGAAAA